UUAAGCGACUAAGCGUACACGGUGGAUGCCCUGGCAGUCAGAGGCGAUGAAGGACGUGCUAAUCUGCGAUAAGCGUCGGUAAGGUGAUAUGAACCGUUAUAACCGGCGAUUUCCGAAUGGGGAAACCCAGUGUGUUUCGACACACUAUCAUUAACUGAAUCCAUAGGUUAAUGAGGCGAACCGGGGGAACUGAAACAUCUAAGUACCCCGAGGAAAAGAAAUCAACCGAGAUUCCCCCAGUAGCGGCGAGCGAACGGGGAGCAGCCCAGAGCCUGAAUCAGUGUGUGUGUUAGUGGAAGCGUCUGGAAAGGCGCGCGAUACAGGGUGACAGCCCCGUACACAAAAAUGCACAUGCUGUGAGCUCGAUGAGUAGGGCGGGACACGUGGUAUCCUGUCUGAAUAUGGGGGGACCAUCCUCCAAGGCUAAAUACUCCUGACUGACCGAUAGUGAACCAGUACCGUGAGGGAAAGGCGAAAAGAACCCCGGCGAGGGGAGUGAAAAAGAACCUGAAACCGUGUACGUACAAGCAGUGGGAGCACGCUUAGGCGUGUGACUGCGUACCUUUUGUAUAAUGGGUCAGCGACUUAUAUUCUGUAGCAAGGUUAACCGAAUAGGGGAGCCGAAGGGAAACCGAGUCUUAACUGGGCGUUAAGUUGCAGGGUAUAGACCCGAAACCCGGUGAUCUAGCCAUGGGCAGGUUGAAGGUUGGGUAACACUAACUGGAGGACCGAACCGACUAAUGUUGAAAAAUUAGCGGAUGACUUGUGGCUGGGGGUGAAAGGCCAAUCAAACCGGGAGAUAGCUGGUUCUCCCCGAAAGCUAUUUAGGUAGCGCCUCGUGAAUUCAUCUCCGGGGGUAGAGCACUGUUUCGGCAAGGGGGUCAUCCCGACUUACCAACCCGAUGCAAACUGCGAAUACCGGAGAAUGUUAUCACGGGAGACACACGGCGGGUGCUAACGUCCGUCGUGAAGAGGGAAACAACCCAGACCGCCAGCUAAGGUCCCAAAGUCAUGGUUAAGUGGGAAACGAUGUGGGAAGGCCCAGACAGCCAGGAUGUUGGCUUAGAAGCAGCCAUCAUUUAAAGAAAGCGUAAUAGCUCACUGGUCGAGUCGGCCUGCGCGGAAGAUGUAACGGGGCUAAACCAUGCACCGAAGCUGCGGCAGCGACGCUUAUGCGUUGUUGGGUAGGGGAGCGUUCUGUAAGCCUGUGAAGGUGUACUGUGAGGUAUGCUGGAGGUAUCAGAAGUGCGAAUGCUGACAUAAGUAACGAUAAAGCGGGUGAAAAGCCCGCUCGCCGGAAGACCAAGGGUUCCUGUCCAACGUUAAUCGGGGCAGGGUGAGUCGACCCCUAAGGCGAGGCCGAAAGGCGUAGUCGAUGGGAAACAGGUUAAUAUUCCUGUACUUGGUGUUACUGCGAAGGGGGGACGGAGAAGGCUAUGUUGGCCGGGCGACGGUUGUCCCGGUUUAAGCGUGUAGGCUGGUUUUCCAGGCAAAUCCGGAAAAUCAAGGCUGAGGCGUGAUGACGAGGCACUACGGUGCUGAAGCAACAAAUGCCCUGCUUCCAGGAAAAGCCUCUAAGCGUCAGGUAACAUCAAAUCGUACCCCAAACCGACACAGGUGGUCAGGUAGAGAAUACCAAGGCGCUUGAGAGAACUCGGGUGAAGGAACUAGGCAAAAUGGUGCCGUAACUUCGGGAGAAGGCACGCUGAUAUGUAGGUGAAGCGACUUGCUCGUGGAGCUGAAAUCAGUCGAAGAUACCAGCUGGCUGCAACUGUUUAUUAAAAACACAGCACUGUGCAAACACGAAAGUGGACGUAUACGGUGUGACGCCUGCCCGGUGCCGGAAGGUUAAUUGAUGGGGUUAGCGCAAGCGAAGCUCUUGAUCGAAGCCCCGGUAAACGGCGGCCGUAACUAUAACGGUCCUAAGGUAGCGAAAUUCCUUGUCGGGUAAGUUCCGACCUGCACGAAUGGCGUAAUGAUGGCCAGGCUGUCUCCACCCGAGACUCAGUGAAAUUGAACUCGCUGUGAAGAUGCAGUGUACCCGCGGCAAGACGGAAAGACCCCGUGAACCUUUACUAUAGCUUGACACUGAACAUUGAGCCUUGAUGUGUAGGAUAGGUGGGAGGCUUUGAAGUGUGGACGCCAGUCUGCAUGGAGCCGACCUUGAAAUACCACCCUUUAAUGUUUGAUGUUCUAACGUUGACCCGUAAUCCGGGUUGCGGACAGUGUCUGGUGGGUAGUUUGACUGGGGCGGUCUCCUCCUAAAGAGUAACGGAGGAGCACGAAGGUUGGCUAAUCCUGGUCGGACAUCAGGAGGUUAGUGCAAUGGCAUAAGCCAGCUUGACUGCGAGCGUGACGGCGCGAGCAGGUGCGAAAGCAGGUCAUAGUGAUCCGGUGGUUCUGAAUGGAAGGGCCAUCGCUCAACGGAUAAAAGGUACUCCGGGGAUAACAGGCUGAUACCGCCCAAGAGUUCAUAUCGACGGCGGUGUUUGGCACCUCGAUGUCGGCUCAUCACAUCCUGGGGCUGAAGUAGGUCCCAAGGGUAUGGCUGUUCGCCAUUUAAAGUGGUACGCGAGCUGGGUUUAGAACGUCGUGAGACAGUUCGGUCCCUAUCUGCCGUGGGCGCUGGAGAACUGAGGGGGGCUGCUCCUAGUACGAGAGGACCGGAGUGGACGCAUCACUGGUGUUCGGGUUGUCAUGCCAAUGGCACUGCCCGGUAGCUAAAUGCGGAAGAGAUAAGUGCUGAAAGCAUCUAAGCACGAAACUUGCCCCGAGAUGAGUUCUCCCUGACUCCUUGAGAGUCCUGAAGGAACGUUGAAGACGACGACGUUGAUAGGCCGGGUGUGUAAGCGCAGCGAUGCGUUGAGCUAACCGGUACUAAUGAACCGUGAGGCUUAACCUU
rnacentral:rRNA from 1 species